rnacentral:rRNA from 1 species
GGGUUGUGAGGUUAAGCGACUAAGCGUACACGGUGGAUGCCCUGGCAGUCAGAGGCGAUGAAGGACGUGCUAAUCUGCGAAAAGCGUCGGUAAGGUGAUAUGAACCGUUAUAGCCGGCGAUGUCCGAAUGGGGAAACCCAGUGCAAUUCGUUGCACUAUCGUUAACUGAAUACAUAGGUUAACGAGGCGAACCGGGGGAACUGAAACAUCUAAGUACCCCGAGGAAAAGAAAUCAACCGAGAUUCCCCCAGUAGCGGCGAGCGAACGGGGAGCAGCCCAGAGUCUGAAUCAGCUUGUGUGUUAGUGGAACGGUCUGGAAAGUCCGACGGUACAGGGUGAUAGUCCCGUACACCAAAAUGCACAGGUUGUGAACUCGAAGAGUAGGGCGGGACACGUGGUAUCCUGUCUGAAUAUGGGGGGACCAUCCUCCAAGGCUAAAUACUCCUGACUGACCGAUAGUGAACCAGUACCGUGAGGGAAAGGCGAAAAGAACCCCGGCGAGGGGAGUGAAAAAGAACCUGAAACCGUGUACGUACAAGCAGUGGGAGCACCUUCGGGUGUGACUGCGUACCUUUUGUAUAAUGGGUCAGCGACUUAUAUUCUGUAGCAAGGUUAACCGUAUAGGGGAGCCGCAGGGAAACCGAGUCUUAACUGGGCGUUAAGUUGCAGGGUAUAGACCCGAAACACGGUGAUCUAGCCAUGAGCAGGUUGAAGGUUGGGUAACACUAACUGGAGGACCGAACCGACUAAUGUUGAAAAAUUAGCGGAUGACUUGUGGCUGGGGGUGAAAGGCCAAUCAAACCGGGAGAUAGCUGGUUCUCCCCGAAAGCUAUUUAGGUAGCGCCUCGUGAAUUCAUCUUCGGGGGUAGAGCACUGUUUCGGCUAGGGGGUCAUCCCGACUUACCAACCCGAUGCAAACUACGAAUACCGAAGAAUGUUAUCACGGGAGACACACGGCGGGUGCUAACGUCCGUCGUGAAGAGGGAAACAACCCAGACCGCCAGCUAAGGUCCCAAAGUCAUGGUUAAGUGGGAAACGAUGUGGGAAGGCACAGACAGCCAGGAUGUUGGCUUAGAAGCAGCCAUCAUUUAAAGAAAGCGUAAUAGCUCACUGGUCGAGUCGGCCUGCGCGGAAGAUGUAACGGGGCUAAACCAUGCACCGAAGCUGCGGCAGCGACACUAUGUGUUGUUGGGUAGGGGAGCGUUCUGUAAGCCUGCGAAGGUGUGCUGUGAGGCAUGCUGGAGGUAUCAGAAGUGCGAAUGCUGACAUAAGUAACGAUAAAGCGGGUGAAAAGCCCGCUCGCCGGAAGACCAAGGGUUCCUGUCCAACGUUAAUCGGGGCAGGGUGAGUCGACCCCUAAGGCGAGGCCGAAAGGCGUAGUCGAUGGGAAACAGGUUAAUAUUCCUGUACUUGGUGUUACUGCGAAGGGGGGACGGAGAAGGCUAUGUUAGCCGGGCGACGGUUGUCCCGGUUUAAGCAUGUAGGCUGGUUAUCCAGGCAAAUCCGGAUAAUCAAGGCUGAGGUGUGAUGACGAGGCACUACGGUGCUGAAGUAACAAAUGCCCUGCUUCCAGGAAAAGCCUCUAAGCAUCAGGUAACAUCAAAUCGUACCCCAAACCGACACAGGUGGUCAGGUAGAGAAUACCAAGGCGCUUGAGAGAACUCGGGUGAAGGAACUAGGCAAAAUGGUGCCGUAACUUCGGGAGAAGGCACGCUGGUGUGUAGGUGAAGUCCCUGCGGAUGGAGCUGAGACCAGUCGAAGAUACCAGCUGGCUGCAACUGUUUAUUAAAAACACAGCACUGUGCAAACACGAAAGUGGACGUAUACGGUGUGACGCCUGCCCGGUGCCGGAAGGUUAAUUGAUGGGGUUAUCCGUAAGGAGAAGCUCUUGAUCGAAGCCCCGGUAAACGGCGGCCGUAACUAUAACGGUCCUAAGGUAGCGAAAUUCCUUGUCGGGUAAGUUCCGACCUGCACGAAUGGCGUAAUGAUGGCCAGGCUGUCUCCACCCGAGACUCAGUGAAAUUGAACUCGCUGUGAAGAUGCAGUGUACCCGCGGCAAGACGGAAAGACCCCGUGAACCUUUACUAUAGCUUGACACUGAACAUUGAGCCUUGAUGUGUAGGAUAGGUGGGAGGCUUUGAAGCGUGGACGCCAGUCUGCGUGGAGCCAACCUUGAAAUACCACCCUUUAAUGUUUGAUGUUCUAACGUUGGCCCCUGACCGGGGUUGCGGACAGUGUCUGGUGGGUAGUUUGACUGGGGCGGUCUCCUCCCAAAGCGUAACGGAGGAGCACGAAGGUUAGCUAAUCCUGGUCGGACAUCAGGAGGUUAGUGCAAUGGCAUAAGCUAGCUUGACUGCGAGCGUGACGGCGCGAGCAGGUGCGAAAGCAGGUCAUAGUGAUCCGGUGGUUCUGAAUGGAAGGGCCAUCGCUCAACGGAUAAAAGGUACUCCGGGGAUAACAGGCUGAUACCGCCCAAGAGUUCAUAUCGACGGCGGUGUUUGGCACCUCGAUGUCGGCUCAUCACAUCCUGGGGCUGAAGUAGGUCCCAAGGGUAUGGCUGUUCGCCAUUUAAAGUGGUACGCGAGCUGGGUUUAGAACGUCGUGAGACAGUUCGGUCCCUAUCUGCCGUGGGCGCUGGAGAAUUGAGGGGGGCUGCUCCUAGUACGAGAGGACCGGAGUGGACGCAUCACUGGUGUUCGGGUUGUCAUGCCAAUGGCACUGCCCGGUAGCUAAAUGCGGAAGAGAUAAGUGCUGAAAGCAUCUAAGCACGAAACUUGCCCCGAGAUGAGUUCUCCCUGAGACUUUAAGUCUCCUGAAGGAACGUUGAAGACGACGACGUUGAUAGGCCGGGUGUGUAAGCGCAGCGAUGCGUUGAGCUAACCGGUACUAAUGAACCGUGAGGCUUAACCUUACAACGCCGAAG